UACGGAGGGGGCUAGCGUUGUUCGGAAUUACUGGGCGUAAAGCGCACGUAGGCGGCUUUGUAAGUUAGAGGUGAAAGCCCUGGGCUCAACUCCGGAAUUGCCUUUAAGACUGCAUCGCUAGAAUUGUGGAGAGGUAAGUGGAAUUCCGAGUGUAGAGGUGAAAUUCGUAGAUAUUCGGAAGAACACCAGUGGCGAAGGCGACUUACUGGACACAUAUUGACGCUGAGGUGCGAAAGCGUGGGGAGCAAACAGG
rnacentral:rRNA from 1 species